ensembl:lncRNA
CAUUCUUCUCGCUUCUCUUAUCAAAAUAUCCAGCGAUUUCCUCAUGAGUGGGGUGAGGAGAACAGGAACUUUUCUUCCCCGCUUUCCUACUAUUGUUAUCCGGACAAAAUGUUUGCAGAGCUUCUGCUCAAGUGGUGUCAGGGCCAAGUUUACAUCUUCAUGGUUUUCGGUUUGGUCUCCGGUUUGGUCUCUUGACAUGUAGGACAACAACGGCAUUCCGGAUACCUCUCCUUCUCUCCGGCAGUUGAAAAGAAUAACUUGUGCCAGGGUUACUCUAGCAAGAUCUUUCCAUGUUAAGGUUGAAACCUCUUGCGUCACGUCAUUCAAGAGUUGCUGCUGUUUUUUAGACAAAUGAGAAUGGAGGUUUUGGACAUUCUCUGUGAAUGGAAGGAGUUGAGGAGAAUUCCACUUGGCCUGGUCUAGUUGAGUGAGCGCUUGGCUUGCAUUGCAAAAUUUCCAACUCUCUUGGUAUAACUGUGCAAAUUCUGCAGCAUCUUGGACUGCUUCUUUAUCCCUUGACUUAAAUCCUUCAGAUUUUAUGGCCAAAGAAUGUAAGCUGUGGCCAACCUUCCAAGCGAGAGAUGGACGUUGAUGUGUUGCAGUUUUGUCACUAAAUCCAGCUAGGCAUCAGCAGUGACAACAUGACCAUGUAGGCGUGGUUCUCGCACUCCGCUCCAGCUGGCGGGCUUCCAGCUGCUCCGAGCGGACCGCGAUACGGAGCUCUCCGGCAAGACGAAGGGUGGAGGAAUCUGCUUCUACUUCAACAACAGCUGGUGCAACAACGUAACGGUAAUCCUAAAACACUGUUCUCCUGAUCUGGAAACUUUCUUCAUCAACUGCAAACCCUUUUACUCUCCCCGUGAGUUCGCUUCAUUCAUCCUGGUUGGUGUUUACAUGCCGCCGGCGGGCAACGUGCACGAGGCACAGCGGACACUCGCCGACCAGAUACGGCGUGUGGAGCGGACCAACCCGGACUCUUUAGUUAUUGUCCUCGGGGACUUUAACAAAGGAAAUCUCGCCCAUGAACUUCCUAAAUACAGACAGUUUAUUAAAUGCCGUACCAGACUGCUUUAAGGCCUCCACCAUCAUCCCUGUCCCCAAGAUGCCCAGGAUCACAGGACUCAAUGACUACAGGCCCGUCGCCCUGACCUCUGUAGUCAUGAAGUCUUUUGAACGCCUAGUCCUGACCCACCUGAAGUCCCUCAGAGACCCCCUCCUGGACCCCCUGGAGUUUGCCUACAGAGCCAACAGGUCUGUGUACGAUGCUGUCAACACUACAUCCUCCAGCAUCUGGACUCCCCAGGAACCUACGCCAGGAUCCUGUUUCAUUAAUUAUGUAAACAAAUUAAUGAAACUACAUAGAUCACCCAAGUCCAGAUUUAGGGAGAAAAGUGUCUGAUUUACUCUUUUACCUUUUGUACUGGCAACAUUUGUUUCCUGAUUCCUCAUAAUGUAAAUGCAACAUCCUUGUCUUUACUGACAAAACAGAAGCCCGAUGGUUUGUCACUUGGUAUUCAGAUAAAUAAAAAAACAAUAACUAAUAUAGAUUUGAGAUCACACUGUGAGCAGUAGAUCCACUAGCGGAGUUAGUGAGCCAAUUUAAAUAGAUUUCAAAUUCCCAAACCGAUGAAUCCGUGUAUAUAACCACCUUUUGACGCCAUGGCCAUUUUGAAUCAAUUUCAGAUCCCACUUCUUUCUAUGUUCUUUACAGCAAAAAUGAACAAAUGUGGCCUGUUGUUUACAGUUUGGAGAUUUGUGGUUGUCAUUCACUAAUCUUCCAAGCGAUCCAUCUCUCUUCAAUACUCAAAGGAAUGAGAAAACUACCGGUUAAAAUAUGUAUGUAUGUAACAUAUAUAAAAUUUCAUAAAGUCUGAACAUUGUCAAGUUUACCAGUGAUUGCUUAAAAUGGAUAAAAAAAAAUAAAAAAAUGGAAUAAAAUUGUUGCGAUUCACAGAGCAUGUGCGUUUAAAAGAUUCUCCCUGCAUUUAUGAGCUCAGGGACACGGAACACCUCCGCAGUCGUUGGCGGUGGCUCGGGGACAGGGAACACCUCCGCAGUCGGCGGCGGCGGCUCGGGGACACGGAACACCUCCGCAGUCGUUGGCGGCGGCGGCUCGGGGACAGGGAACCCCUCUCGCAGUCGGCGGCGGCGGCUUGAGGACAGGGAACACCUCCGCAGUCGGCGGCGGCGGCUCGGAACACCUCCGCAGUCGUGGCGGCUCGGGGACAAAGGAGGCAGGAGUUGCCAGCUGGAGGGAGCAGGAAGCCCCCGGAGUCGCAACCCCUGCCAGGACCCCACCCCUCAAGGGCCGGAUCCCAGACGGCCCUCAAAUCACCAACGGAGGGUGGGAGAGGACCACGGGGUGGGAGGGAGGGAACCCGAGUCGGAGAGCGGGGACGUCGGAGUCAUGAGUCUCGAGGCAGGCACCGGCGGCGUUGGGGUCAUGAGUCUCGGGGCCGGUACUGGCGGCGUCAGAGGAGCAAGUCGGGGAACGGCAAAGGGAGACGGCUGCGGCGGCCCAGCGGGAACGGGAGACGGCAGGAGAUCGCUUCUUCCGCUUGCUCCUCCUUCGAGGGUUAAGGAGGUCCCGGAGCUCGAGGCAGGCGAGCUGAUAGCUCCUGGGACCAAAAAUAAAAUCUGUCUUCCGCUGCCAGAAGGGACUUCUUACGUCCAAGUCGUCCGGACCGUAGUCUGGCAGCGGGUCUGCUGAGUCCCAUGGUGGCGUCAUUCUGUCAGAGUUGGACAGGAAGGAAGGACUCAAACGCAGACAUUGAAAGCAAAAGGACGUUAAUAGUAAAAACGCCGGCUGGCGGCCAAUUUACCUGGGAGCACUUAUGCUCCCAGGUAAAGUUUGUUUGUUCUGCAGUCAAAUCUCACCAACAAAACAAUACAGCGCCAGGACGUGUCAAAACAUUGGCUUAAUGUGCACUACAAGACCUCUUUAGCUUGGGAAAAUUGAAAGCAUGGUUUUCUAAGUCCAGUUGAUAAUAAAAACCGCAGCAAGGUCAUCACACAAUCACGGUGAUUUAUGUGAGAGGUUACAUUACAGGUCAUUUAGCAGACGCUUUUAUCCAAAGCGACUUACAUUACACUUUAAACCCAUGGCUUUUUCACAUUUUGCCCGGGUUGAGUUACUCGCACAAGUUGUGUGGCGGUAGGUAAAAGGAAGGCUUAAUUAGAUGGAUUCCGAUACGUGAUCUUUAACAAUUAGCAACAUACAUAUCUGCAAAUAAUGACAUAGUUGCCUAGAUUUACAUUUUUUAGGAUUUAAUGUAGAACAAUCUCAAGAAUGUUCAUAAGUGUACGUGGUACCUUAGCAUCUUAGAUCGAUGAUCGAUUUUACAACCGUAUUGUCUGAUCUGAGGCCACAUAUUUUGGACACUCUGGUAAACAGAGCGGCAGAGCUGUCAAUUGAUCACCAUCUGGUGGUGAGCAGGGUCAGAAGAUGGGGGAAGGAUGAACCAGGUAAACCCAAGCGUGUAGUGCGGGUGAACUGGGAACGUCUGGAGCAGGCUCCGAUCCAAAAACUUUUCAACUCACACUUCCGGCUGAGCUUCUCACAUUCCUGUUGAGGUAGGGGCCAUUGAACCAGAAUGGUGUAGGUUUAAAACUUCUAUUGCUUGAGUUGGGGCCUCAAGGUCUGAGCUAAUUUAAGGGGCGGUAACCAUCAAACCUGGUCAACGGUGGUCAGGGAAGCUGUCUGACUGAUGCCUUCCGGCUUAUAAUAUUUCGUGGGACUCUGGAGGCAGUUGCAGUGCAUCAACGGGCUCGAAGGGCGGCAGCGUCUGCCGUUGAGGAGACAAAUCAAGUGUGGGAGGAGUUUGGGGUAGCUAUGGAGAAGGACUUUCAGUUGGCAUCAAAGUGCUCCUGGAAGAUCUCUGGCACCUCAUGAGGGGGAUAGGGAAACCAUUCAACCUGUGUACAGUAAGGAUGGGAACCGUUGACUGCAACUUAGAAGGUUAUUGGGCUGUGGAAGGAUCACUUUGAGGAACUCCUGAAUCCAACUACUACGCCCUCGUAAGUAGAGAUAGAGCUGGAGGCGUAUGAGGGAUCAUCGUCAAUUUUCCAAGUGGUAGUUACAGAAGUUGUCAGACAACUCUGCAGUGGCAAAGCCCUCGGGAUUGACGAGAUCCAUCCAGAGAUGCUGAAAGCAAUGGAUGUUAGGGGGUUGUCUUUGAUGACAUGGCUCUUCAACUUUGCGCGGAAGUCUGGGACAGUGCCAAAGCCGACCGGGGUGGUGUUACCUCUCUUCAAAAAGGGUGACCAAAGAGUGUGUGCCAAUUACAGGGGUAUCACACUACUCAACCUCCCUGGUUAACUACUCAAAAAGGUGCUGGAAAGGAGGGUUUGGCUGAUAGUCGAACAAAGGAUUGAAGAGGAACAAUGAAGUUUCCGUCCUGGAACGACAGAUCAACUCUUUAAUCUUUCCAGGAUUAUGGAGGGGACUUGGGAGUAUGCUCAUCCAGUCUACAUGUCUUUUGUGGACUUGGAGAAGGCGUAUGACCGGGUCCCCCAUAAGAUGUGGGAGAAGCUGCAGGAGCACAGGGUGUGAGGGUCCCUACUUGGGGCCAUUCAAUCCCUGCAUGCCCUAAGUGAGAGCUGUGUUUGGGUCGUAAGUGUUUCCGGUGGGGUUUGGCCUUCGCCAGGGCUGCACCUUGUCACCAAUCCUAUUUUGGUUUUCAUGGACAGGAUAUUGAGGCGUAGUCGGGGGGAGGAGAGUAUACAGUUCGGAGGGCUUCAGAUAUCGUUGCUUUUUGCAAAUGAUGUGGUCCUGAUGGCAUCGUCAUCUUAGAUCAGGCCAUUACUAUGUUGAUGAACAGAAGUUCCAUAAUUGAUGCGAGGAGAGACUGUGAGACAGUUUACGGCUCAGGUAAGGGCAAUGACAUGUCUAUCACAAGGUAGCACUAGCCCUAAACAUUGAACAGACUGUUGCAUUCACAACAGUUGAGUUAAAACCAAAUAGACUGUAUAAAAAGUGGAGGAAGUCGCCUUUUUAAAGCAUGUACUGACCGGUUAAUAACAAGUCUAUUCGGCAAAAUGUUGCAUUAUUAAGGAUUCCUUAACAUAUAAUUUGACUGUUGACAUUAAAUAAUAAUAGGUGCAACUCAGAUGGCUGUAGAUGUGCAAGAAGGUUUCGCUAUCACUUCCCAGAGUUCCUAGUAGAAUUAUAUAGAGUUCAUUGGACGAACAAAAGAGCAGCAAAACUUUUUUUUAAUCACAAAACCAAAACUAAUCCACAGGGCAAUGUUAUAUUGAAUCUGAUUGUCAGGAUGCAGGGAAGGCAGGACUGAAAUGCAGAGUUUCAAACAAAAAAAGAGACUUUAAUGGUCAAAAACUCAAAAAGCCCAUUGAAGAAAACUGCCACAUAUUCACCACCAAAAUACUGAACAAUAACUGGUUCAUAUCUUUUAGAUUCUUUGUUAAAAAAAACCUCAUUUAAAACAGGUGUCUGCGUUACCUUAUAUAACGAUAAUUUAUACUGCACAUUGAAAUAAUAUAGUCUUUUUAGUGCUCCUGCCCCCUCUUUCUCUGAAGAACCUGCCGGCUUGUUUUCAUGGCUGUCGGCAUUUUUGGCCUCUCGCUUCAUCUUAUUUGUGUAUUCUGGUUAAUUGCCUCUGUUUAUAUUCAGCAAUGCAUUGCCUUUUUUAAUUUCGGCCUGCUCUCCUUUGCUAUUUCUUCCGCUUUGUUCCUGUCAACUUGUUCCAUCAAAUCACGAAAAGCUCCCCUCCCUCCCUCCCUCACUCCUCCUCCUCCUCCUAUCCUCCUUCCUCUCACUUUCUCUUUUCUCACACUCUCUAAAAGCAAAUUGUAUUCUAUAAAUGUUAAUUAGCAUGCCAUGGUCUAGGGGAUAAGAGUAAUGGUGUACAUGGGGCGCUGGUGGAGAAGAAUUCAUUACCACCCGAGGCACCUGCUAGAUUAUAAACAAGUAGCAAACACUGAUAAUGCUGCCGGUUUGCCUGUCUUCCUAAUGGAGAAGUUUACAAAUGAGGACAGCCAAGGAAACCUAUCACAAGUACAAAAGUUUGUAGGCACAACAUUUAUAUGGUUAUUUUACAACGCUCAAGAUGAUUAUCUCGGUAUAUUUUUUAUUGAGUCUAAUUUAAAAUUAAUCAUUCACAAUAUAAUAAAUUAGACAGAAGAAUGUGUAUUCACUUGCUUUCUUACAGGGAGUGCCUUUGACCCAUUGCAAAGACCGGUUUAGGAAGAUUGAAAAGCUAAACAGAUGUAGACAAAAAGCCAAACUAUUCACACUCGCAAUUCAUCAAAUAUUGCUUCUUUCCCCUCAUUGUCUGCAAUGAACGCACUGAGGCACUCUUUGAUGUCUGUAUGGGCAAGUGGGAGAGAGUUUGGAUUGACCUGUUGAUGAGAAUUAUGAGUUCUACUACUGAACUUUUGAACUGAAACAUUAAUGCAGUAACGCCAGUCACAUACCAACUAGUUGUUUUACAACUGACCUACAUUCUCAUUCCAACUGGUUAUAGAGUUUAUGAUCAAGAGGUGUGUCUGAAGAGUCGGACUACUGACAAAAGUUUAAUACCAGCAUAAAGGUCAAGGCAAAAACUAUAAAAUAUGAAUGGCCUUAUUCAGAAGUGUUUGGUUUGUGCUUUAGGCAACAGCAUUCAUUGUGUGCAAUCUCCAGGGGUCUCAAACUCAUUUCAGGUUCGGGCCAGAUGCGGCCCACUUCGACCGAACGUGGGCUAGGCCAUUACAGUCGACGAGGGGUGGUGCCAGAGUUACACUAUACACUAUUGUUCUGAGCGAACGCCACCAAACUUCAGUCAACAGGGUUUUCUCAAGCUAACGUUAAGUAUUUCAAGACACGUAAGGUUAUACCGUGGCAAAUAGAAAAGCAUUUUGUUAGACCCAGCAUACUAGCAAUCAGUUAGUUUCUCAAGCAAUGCAAAAAAAGACUUAUGGAGAAGCAGACACAUGCAAGUAAGUCUAUUUCUGUUAAUAUUCAGAUACUGAGUGCUGCGGUAUCAUAAUGUCAAACAGUGAUAUGUCAAUUCCUUUUUUGCCACUUUAAAUUGUUCUGUUUUAAUUUAACAUGAUAAUUUAGUGACAUGUGUAACAGGAUGGCACGGAGGAUUCCGAAUCACGGGCAGCGCAGCAGUAAAGAGGCGGAGGGUGUCGUUGAAGCAAUUAAAUCACACAAAAUAAAGAAACAGACAACUACGGGUAUCUCCCACGUUCAUCAAAACCAACUCAACGUUACGCUAGCCGGGGUCCUCUCCCAAUCUGUCUCUUCUCACUACUUCUUCCGCCUUCUUUUUGAACCCCGCUUGAUGAGUAUGUCCAGGUGUGUCUCCUGGCACACCUGAUAGCGAGGAGCUUGAUUCCGAUGACGUAGGCGGCAGGCCUUUGGAUGGAACAUGCACCCACUUUACUACUCCGCCCCUCAGCCCUUUAACUACACAGGCCCUUCAUCAUGUGUAAAGAAACAUCCAUGUUUCUGGCCAUGUGAACAUCCAUUCAUCUGCAAACCGCUUAUCCUGCACACAGGGGGCUGUAGUCUAUCCCAGCCAACUUCAGGCAAUAGGUACACCCUGGAUUUGUCACCAGUCAAUCGCAGGGCUAACACAGAGACAACCAACCAUUCACACUCACGUUCACACACCUAGGGGCAAUUUAGAGUUACCAAUCAACCUGAUCCCCAGUGCAUGUCUGUGGGAGGAAGCCAAAGUAUACUUUGGCUCCACAUGUUUAUAAACAUGUGACACACCAAGCAGGAGAGGUGGGGAAGGAAGACAUCACUAGGUUAGCUGCUAAGCUAAUAUAACGUUAGCUAAUGCUAAUAGAAGUAACGUUGAUGCUAAACAACGUCUAAGCAUCUAUUCGAUUGAAUGAAAAAUUGCUAGACUGCAUAGAUAACAGAUUAUUUGCUGCUUGUGCUGAAAAAUAUUACGCUACAAUCAAUUCAGUAUAGCUAGAGCUGUGAAAAGCUGGCAACAGACACGCUGGCAACAGGAAGUGACGCAACACGCUUACCGUGACAGGAUGUGACAGUGAUCAGUGUCCCCGUGCAGCUAUCCUAUUCUAAGCAGUUUAAUCAAUUAACACAUCUAAAUGAACUGUGCUAGGGCACAGGUUUAUACACCAAGAAAUAUUAAAUCGAGAUGACAUUUGUCAACACAAGUUCAAAGACAAAUUAUAUUAGUUAACGUAGAAUUUUAAGGCAGUCCUUUCACUCAUUUAAACUCGAACAACUAGGCCUGUCGCAAUAUGGGAUAAAAUUACAUAUCGCACAGUCUGAUAUUGAGUGCAAUCAUUUUAGGUGCCGCGAUAUUCAUUUUACGUAUAAAUGAACAUCACCAACACUUAAGUUGAUCACGCUGCUGUGGAAAGCGGGGGCGGGGCUUAGGCAGAGCAGAGCGGACACAGACAGACCCAACUAAGCUAAAAUCUCACCUAAAACAACAACCAUCAAGUUCAAAAACAUGUCUUAAUAGACAAAGACCAAUGUGUGCAUGUGUGUUAAGUACCUCUCUGGGUACUACCAUGCUGAAUAUGAAGUAUUUUUACUGGGGCUGUCAAUAGAUUAAACCAAAUUAACAAAUUUAAUUGCACGUUUUGAAAUUCAUUGAUCUCGAUUAAUGGCGAUUAAUGCAGGUUGUUGGUGUUACAAUGUUUGUUUUUAUCCUAAAGACUAAAUCUUUAGAACGUGAGUAUUUUAGACACUUGUUUAAUUGUUAGUUAUUUUUAACACAAAAAAUACACACAUUUGAUCAUCUUGGAGACAGAAUUCCACCUGGUGGAACAUGUUGAACUAGCGACUCUUCCUGCUGUCCUUUUGCUCUUAACUCGCCAUAAUUGAACGGCUGUGCUUGAUGUGCCAACAAUCUCCCCACAUUUAGCCAGGACGUUUUCAAACCAUGGCCUUUUAGGGACACAGUGGCGGUCCUCUGCUGACUGUGUGCCACGCACACGGGUAACGUUAGCUGUUGAGAUGGAAGUAGCAUAGCAGCUAGCUUAACAAAGCAGUGCUUUAAGUGGUCCCUUUGCUAUCCACCCCCCUUCUGUUUGACACGUUGAGUAAUUCCUCUGCACAGUUAUCUGCUGUAUGUCGCACUACUGUUUGUUUUACUUCCAAUACAAAAAGCUCUCUUCAUCUUGAUGUAACUAACUGCAGUUAGCGGCUGUUUUGUUUCCGCGGUCAACUUCCGGUUUAAUUGUUAAACGUAAAAAUAUUUUGUUGCAUUAAUCUAGGCCACAUUAAUGGUAUAGAUUAAUACAUUAAUGUUGACAGCCCUAAUUUUUGUGUACAGAUUUGGAGAUCUAAUAGCUAUAUGUUAAAAAAGACAAUAAAAACAUUCUUCCGAAUAAUUCCCCACAAAGACCAAUGUACAUGUGUUAAGGACCUCUCCAACUACUCUUGUACGAAAAAUUAAAUGUUUUUACUGUUCAAAGUACAUUUUACCGAACAAAAUGUUUGAUGCAAAAGAUGAGAAAAAACACUCAUAAUUUAUCCGACUAUACCAUUGGAUUACAAUUUAAAAAUGUGCAUGUGCGCUUUUCCCUUCAUCAUCUUAAAUAUUACACGAUUUAAUCAGUUGUUACGUUAUGAAAAAUGUAUUACAUUUAUUUAUUUUUAAUUAUUCCAUUCCAAAUUGAAUGUAUCAAUUCAUGUUAUCUCCACCAUAACAACCUUCUUGACCCCCACCAGUCAGGCUUCAAGGCAGGCCAUUCCACAGAGACUGCUCUCCUUGCUGUCUCAGAGCAACGCCACACUGUCAGAGCCGCCUCUCUCCUCUGUCGUCAUCCUUCUGGACUUUUCUGCUGCAUUUGGCACAGUAAACCAUCCUUAUUUCCUCCCUUCAGGAACUUGGCGUCUCAGGCUCUGCUCUCAUCCUACUUUGAUGGCCAGACUUACCGUGUAACUUAGAGAGGAUCUGUGUCAAAACCUUGUCCUCUUACUACCAGAGUUUCUCAAGGAGCCGUCCUGGGUCCCCUCCUCUUCUCUCUCUACACCAACUCUCUCGCCUCUGUCAUUCGCUCACAUGACUUCUCCUACCACAGCUAUGCUGAUGACACCCAACCAAUUCUCUACUUUCCACACUCGGACACCCAGGUGGCGGCACAGAUCUCUGCCUGUCUGACUAACAUCUCUCAGUGGAUGUCCGCUCACCAUCUGAAAAUCAACCCCGACAAGACUGAACUACUUCCCCUACCUACGACCUGACUGUUACUAACUUUGGGAACUUCGGUGUGACACUCGACAGCCAACUCUCCCUGACUCCCAACAUGAGUGCGACAACACGAUCCUGUAGAUACACGCUUUACAACAUCAGGAGAUUACGUCCUCUUCUCACUCAGAAGGCAGCGCAGGUACUGAUUCAGGCUCUUGUCAUCUCCCGCCUGGACUACUGUAACUCUCUCCUGCAGGUCUCCCUGCUACCGCCAUUCGACCUCUGCAGCUCAUCCAGAAUGCAGCAGCUCGACUGGUCUUUAACCUUCCUAAAUUCUCCCACACUACUCCACUUCUCCCUUCACUGGAACUGAACUGGAUGCGGGCAGCCACCGGUAGCAACAUUGGAGCUCACGUACCAUGCUGUGAAUGGAUCGGUUCCAGUCAUGGUCAAACCCUACAUCCCAACACACACAUCUGCAAACCUGCUUGUCCCUCCCUCACUGAGAGCAAAACACAGUGAGGGAGAGUGUCGAUUUUAAAGAAUGGCGGAGGCAGCUCCCGAUACCGCACAAAAUUGUAUUUGCUAAAUUUGUGUUUUUGUUUAGGAAUGCUUGGAGCUGACCGCAGCGUGGCUAGCCAGACGGUGGUGGGGCUGGUAACUGGGCCUCUCACUUGCUCCUCACAUUUUCAGUUGGGCGUCUGGGUAUUUACAUUUUCAGAAUUGCAUGCUUUUGGCUUUGAUUCAUAUCGUUUGGCGUGAGUGUGUGUGGAGCACUGGCCCCAGUGAGGGUCCUGUCCCCCUGCAGCCUAGCUACCAAUAGAACCCAAUUUGUUUAUUAAAACCCUUUGAUUGUUGUUUUACUACAUUCCCAGAGCUGACAUGAUAUGAAACAAUUUAUUAAAGUUAUUCCUAUUUUAAUGAUAGAUUUAUUUGACAGAUGUUCAAAUAAAUGUUGUACUCUGGGGGAAUACUUUGCCUUGGUCUGUCUGCUUUGGUCAUCGGUGGGUCUGUAGUUGUUGUGUUUCAAGUUAUAAAUCAAAAGAAUAAGGUGUUGUGCUAAAAAGCUCAGGAGCCGCUGGUUUCUGCAACCAACAGGCCCCAGGGCCCUUUGACCAUCCCUAUAGUGCCUGUCUGUUGCCUCUACCAGCGAACUCGAGAACACUGGUUGCCUACAGGUAUUUUACAGUGCAGUAAGGUAAGGUGUGAAAGUUUGUGUCCACACCUCCUUGGAGUGGUCUUCUGGUGAGUUGUGGUUCAAAUGCAUUGUUCUCGAGUUCUCUGGUGGAGGCAACAGACAGUCACUAUGGGUGGUCAAUGGGCUACCCUGUUAAUUGCAGUGACCAGCUAAGAUGUUCUUUUUAGCACAACACACUUUCUUUUAUUAAAUACUUUGGAUUUUAACUCUUCAUCCAAGGUGUCUUCUGUCCGUCCAGAGUUUCCUUUUUUUAGCACAACAGGAACAAGAUCUUUUUGUGAUGGCAUGUGAUCUACCGCCACUGCCUUGGCGUGAUCAACCUAUUGGGUACCUCCUGGUGUAUUGCCACAUCCAAAUACUAUUCCAGAGCAAUAGUGGGAGCUGCCAUGCAGGGACCUUAGCUCUGUGUCCUUUAGUCUGAGCACUCUCUUUAAGCAAUAAUUACUAACCAAGAAACUGCUUUGAAUCCAAGCGUCAGAAAAAAAAUGUAAUAUUCAUCCUAGCGGCUGCUCUUUCAGUGCAUUAUAAUUGCAUUCCAAUAAAAUGCACUUUAGGAACGAUGUUGUAUCUGCCAUUUUCAUAUCAUCUUCAGACCUGAGCGUUGUAAUGAAUUAUUAUUAUCAGUCCUGACACAGGUUCCUUCCUAUCGUCCCCCACUCUCUGCGUAGUGAAUAAAUAGGGUGGGAUUAUCAGGUCACUUAUAGUCCACUGACAUUUUUGUAUUUGAAAUGAGCCACACUAUGUGUUGGCAAUUUGCCUUCCUACGGCAGCGCUCGAUAAAGCAGAGCCAAUUAAAAAGCCGCAAAUUGUUGCUUUUGGCGAAGUCACGCAUGAAAAGCACGCAUUUCAUGUAAGUUGCAAUGGAGAUUGCACAGGCUGUAUUCAUAUGAGUGUGGAAAAUAUAACCAGGAAUGGUAGUUUGUUUGACAUCAUCAGUCAAGUCGCGUGGCGUUAUUUUUGCAAUACCUCUGGCAGACAAUCCUUGAAACAAUAUGAAACCCAUUACAGGGGAUCUGGACAGCAUGUUGGAUUCUUUGUCUUUCAUGGUAUUGAAUAAGCAACUGAAUGACGCCCACUACGGGAUGAAUGAUGGGAGGCAAAAACUGCAUCCCUGAGGUUUCAAAUGAUUAUCAACUCUACAGAAUGAGAACAUUUUGCUUUGCGUGUGUAGCACUUGUCUGGGACUAGUAUUAGAAAAAGCACUAAAUAUAUACCUAGAUUUGAAGGAGAGGUAGGCUUAAGACAAAGAACAAGUUGAACGAAUUACCAGUUUAUUGCUUCACAAUUGGUCAUGCAACAAUCACAAUAUAAAACAGUGUAAAAUAAAAAAAGAAGAGUAGAUUGUUGGGAAAUUGUAUGAUUCUUGUGAAAGAACUCUGUCUUUCCAGUGUAGGUAUAUGUACAGUUCCCACGAUAUAAUCCGUUCAGUGCUGGAAAGUUCCACGAGUUCGGUUCUGGUUCAGGUCUUAAUGUAUACUGUAUCUCUAAACUACCUUACUACCGGUCUACCUGACGGCAGGACUAGGAUCUGAUGUCUGCUAAGCGAAUCAGGUUCUGCCUGAAUCAUACUGUAGGCCACACCGCAUCCACGACCUUUUAAACAUUGCUAGAGGUGGUUUUAGCCUUUUUCAAGAGUUGUGAAGUCCUCUGGUGCCUGUUCUGCCUGUUGUUUGUUUCGUACCAUUCAUUCUGCAAGUAAAAGUUCCAAACCUGGUUCAACUAAGUCAAUCAAAUGUCUGAGAUGAUUGACAUCAGGCUAUCUCUGUUCCUCGAAGGCGGAUCGGCGCUCAAAACGUCUCGUUAGUCUGAACCAGAUGUCAGUCAUCAGGAUGUUUUGACCCCGUUUUGACGUGAGGCCUUCGGCAGAGUAUUCCUGAACAUAAUACUUGCAUUGUUUUUUGGGAGGAGGAUGCUUGCCUUCAUACUUUUGUGAGGAAUUAGUGUUCGGUCUGUUUUGUAGAGUAGGACCUUCUCCUGAGAUGUAUCGUCAAAAUAUAUCCAAAUAGAUUAAACCUUUUUGAUUGAUUUUGAUUCUGUCUAUAACAAGACCUAAAAGCAAACCCAGUCCAGUCAGAGUAAAUCACAAUAAAAAAAUGGAUUAGCUGUGUCCUCGCGUAAACCACACCAGACAGUCUGGUUUCCUAUGCGUCCCUAAUUUCUCCACUAUUGCACAACAAAUGUAAUAAGUUUUUCAUCACAUUUUAUAUGGAUGAGCCCGUCAAUCUGACUGCCAUAGAGCAACGAUUAGGAAGGGGGUGAAUGUUUUGAUGAACAAUAUGUAUAUUGUAUAGUUUCUUUAUAAAGGGGCAAAAGUGAAGAUAAUUAUUCAUGAAAAUAAGAAGGAACCCAUUAUUGUGCUGCUUGACAUAGUAAUGUGUUACACUACAGUAUUAUUGGCAAAAAUAUGACACAAAACUCAAAAAGUAGCCCCAACACUGUGUGUACAUCUGGGUUUGCAGUCUACCGGUGAGAGAAAAAAGGAGCGGCUUGGGGGGGGAAGAAGACGGGCAUGCUACAUUUUCUUUUUCUCUUACGUCAGGCUGCUGCUGACGCAACAGUAAGCAGCAAAUAUGUAAUGGUAUUGCUUGAGUGGUUUGUGCACUUGUUGACUGUAUGCCGAACAGAGUUGGACUUAGUUUGCAGGUAAAGAGGCGUUUAGGCUUUUUAGUAUGCAGCUCUGCGCCUCCUCACAUGUCCAUGAGCAGCAGCCUUGCUUCCAAUGCCACUGACAGCCUAAGGAAACAAAGUAGCAGCUCUGUGAAAAAAUAAGUCAUGCCACUUAGUCAUUGUAGGAAACCAAAAAAAGUGUUCAGGUUUGCUAAUAUUACUAAUCAACAUGGUUGUUGAUGUAUACCUUUUUGAUGAACAUCCGAUUUCUCAAGCCAAAAAAAUUGGGAGACUACCAUUGAAAAGGAGGGGCGCCAGAACACAACAUUAAUGUAAUGUACGGUUCCCUUUCCUGUCCAUGGUCACGUUUACAACGCGCUCGGGAUCGCGCUGCGCGGAUACGUACACAUGCUCCCAUCAGCGGAGCAGAAAGCGCGUCGUCGGUGUUCGUCUGCACCUCCCCCCCCCCCGGCUGGUCUCACGCCAAGGUUUUUGGAAAAGUCGGCAGCUCUGUUUCCCUGUUUCUAAAUAAAUCUAUUAGAAUCAAGUUGAUGUCUCGAGUUCCAUUUUGAGAGUCGCUACAGUAUUGUAGCGAUCGGAGCGGCAGAUUGCGUUAGGCUGCGCUGGUAGGCGCAUUGCAUUAUGGGACAAUCUUUGGAUGCAUUUAAAUCCCUAUCUGUUAUGUUCAUGUUCUAGUGUUUAAGUUUCUGUAUGUUUUUCUAGGUUCUGUUGUGCCCAAAUGUUACUGUUUAAUGUGUAAGAGUGUGGGCACCAUGACCCAAUUUAGUAUGGCUGUGGGUGAAGUUCUGUGUUCAACGCCUGAAUUAAGCGAUCAUCUCCUGGGGUCUUGCCAAAACUCAGCGAAACUAAUUCAAGUCUCCUGUCUCGUUCAUCUGGCCAAGCUCGCCACAGUAUUUUACACAACAGUAGGAGUAGUCUAUACACAACACAUGAGUGUCACAAAAUUUCUCGUGAUCGACUGCUACUCAGCCCGCGACUUGUUGGGCACAUCUGCUAUACACCAUGUGAGGCAACUGCGCGUGCGCACACACGCACACACACACUUGUCUUUAUUGUAUUAUAAGACCUCCUGACAAGAACACCACUUCUGGAACCCACCCUGUCUGAAGGUUGUACAGCACUGUAAAAAAUCAGGCAUUAUUUUUGAGUGGACCUUAACAGCGAUAUCACUUUAAAUUAUCAAUCAGACGAAGUUUAGUCCCCCGACCUGAGUAGGCUCUCACUUCAGGGGUCUUGUGGGGUAUUUAGAUAUUUAUGAGGUCAAUAUAUACACACUUUCCAGUUUUUCUUCAUUUCUGAGAACCAAUUUACACACAGUCAGGUUAAACUUAUUUUGAGGGAACCGCUAACAAUUUUGAUUGUCAAGGUAAUUGCUGUAGAACUAUAAUGCAGCAAAUCCAUCUCGAGUGGCAAUAUGUGUUACACUAUUGCAUCUCGAGCAAUAAAAUCCUAUUAUUAAAGAUUUUAGGUCACGUAUGACAAACAAUAGGGUUACCAUUUGCUGCCAGAUAAAAAGAAACAAGUAUUAAAUACACUGAAAGAUGUUAUUAAGAUGAUCAUAAUGUCAGCAUUACUGCUCCCACAGAGAGAUGUAGGCAGCGGAAUACAUUUUGCAUUCAAACUUUUAUUGAAUACUUUUUCAAAUGUCAACAAAUACGGAGUAAAGAUUAUGACAAAAUUAAAUCAGAGGAAUAGGAAAUUGACAAUAUAAAAAUAUCAACUGAGAUGACUCAAAUGAGUAAUUAUGAAUUAAGAGUGGAGAACAGGUGAAAUUAGAUUACAUGAGAUAAUUUUACUACCGUAAAAUGAGGUUAGAUGAGGUGAUGGGAAAUUAAAGGUAAUGAAGUGACAGACAAUAGAAAACAAAUAAGAAGGGGAGAUGAGUGGUGAUAGUAUGAAAGAUGGCAACAAGGAGCUAGAUGAGCUGAGAUAAAAUGAGAAAUUAGGAGAUAUUGAACAUGUUACAUUAAAUGUGGAAAGCUAGGAAGGGAAGAUGACAAAAGGUUAAGUUACAGAUUAGGUGAGGAGAUGAAACAAGAUACAGAGACCUAAUAAACUUAGUAUUUGUUUCACUAACAAAGUACAGAAGGAUAUGAUGUUAUCAUACCAUCAACGAACAGCAGCAGUUUGCUAUCAACGAAAGGCCACUAACUUGAACAGUAAGUAAAUGACAUGGGGUAGUCAACACUAAACAUUACCUAAAGGAUAUCAUUUUAAACAUGUGACACAGAAAACACGUGUCAACAGCCAUGCUGACUUUAAACUUUUCUCUUGAGAGCUGUAAUUCGAUUCUUGAUGUAACAUUUUAGGGCUGACCAAUUUCGUUUUUUAAUUUCAAUUUCAAGGCACUUAUCAGUCAGUUUUUGCAGAAACACGACAUUAAGUGAUGAAGCACAUCAUGUGCUUCUCUACAGCGACGAUCUCCUCAGUCUCCCACAUCCUUCUCUGGAAUGGUUGGCGACCUGCACGACAAUUAGCGUAAUUAUUCGUAAGUAUUACGAAAUGUUAUGGUUUUGUCCCUCAAUUGCUUAUUAUGUGUAUAGUCAUUGUGUUGAAUGCUAUGACUUCUACCUCUGGCAGAAUUACUUCUUCCAGGUACAUCUUCUGCUCAACUUCUGUUCCUGAUGCAGGCAGGAUGGUCUCCAAUCUCUAUCAUCUCUGUAGUCUAACACGUUUAACAUAAGUUUGUUAUUAUUAUUAUUACACAAAAAUACAGACCUUUUUGUAGAAGCCGUGGUUGCAAUUUUGUCUUUGGAUAUUAUUUUAAUUGCAUUUUAUAAAUUUACUAUUGACAUGUAACAUAAAAAUACUAGUUAUUUACUAUGUAAGAGUUGAUAAAACAUAUUGUGAAAAAAUAACAAAUUUUGAUGUUUGUUAUGUGGUAACAUGUGAAUGUCUUUGGCAUACCCGAAUUUCAUCCAACAAUGUGUUGUUGGUGGCGUACUUCAUCUUAAGCCCAGGAUAAAACCCCUUGUUGUGGUGGAGAUAGACUCUGUUGGACAGAAGCUUGCCAUCUUUUAGGUUUUGGUCCAUAUCCUUUGAACAGCAUGAUACAUCACAUGUUAAAGUAGUUCAUCGCAAUCGAAUGGGAGUAAGGCAAAGACAAAAAAAAAAACAAGGACUGUCAGUGGCACCAAAGAAAACACCCCCCCACUCCCAUUGACCGGUGCCUUGCACCCAAAAAUACAGUGGGUGGCGCUCACUCUAGCCCAGGGUACCAACAACAGGUACACCUACGUGUAUGCAAUAUGUAAACCCCGGAGUAUAUUACCUGUCCUCAUUGACCCUGUGCGUACAACCAAAAGAUAUCACAAAAACACCAGUAGAUUGUUACUAAUUCAAUUUUAACACAAGACAGUGCUCCAGCUCAACACAAAAGAGCCUCCCCCACUGAAAACAAACAUUGACUAUAUAAAGGGGAAUGGUUGAUUGGAACAGGUGUGGUGAUUGGAUGAGGGGAACCAGGUGUGCAUAUCUGUGAAGUGAGAGAAUGGAAACAGAAGGGGGAGACAAAAACACAAACCAACAACACCAUAUCUGUAGACCUAUACCCAUAGAGCACUGUACGUAACACCCCCCCCUAAAGAGUCAAACAAAAAGGCCAAACAAAAUUUAGCAACCACUAACCCACAAUGGUUACACCCGGGACAGAGCGUCUGCGAACACAUUUUCGGUGCCCUUUUUGUGGUGGAUCACCAGGUUGUAAUUGGUGAUAAUCAAGGACCAACGCAUUAGUCGUUGGUUGUGAUUGUGCAUGCGAUGCAGCGAUGCAUCUGAGUUAGAACUGCACCAGCACCAAUAGAGCUCGCAUCGACUUCAAUGGAAAAAGGUUUAUUGAAAUCACUGAGCACUUAGUACCGGGGCAUUACAUAAUAGCGCUUUACAGCAUUCAAAAGUGAUUUGACACCUAUCUGACCAGACAAAUCUUACCAAUGGACUGAUCAAGUCAGUCAUCGGGGCUGCAACGGAAGAGAAGUUCCUACAGAACUCCCUCUGUAGUAACCAGUCAUUCCGAGGAAUCGGCGUUAUUCCCGCCGAGUGGUGGGUACUGGAAAAGACAUGAUAGCUGCGAUCUUUGCCUCCAAGGGUCGCACUUGGCCUCCGCCCACCGGUUUACCCAAGUAGGUCACAGUCGCCUUUCCAAACUCACAGCUUUGUUUCUCCGACGCGCCCUGAAACAAGCUCCAUAUCUCACGCGUUGAGCGCCUGCUCAGCAUCUCGCCGUCGUAGACCGAGCUUUAGCAUGUUUGGCAGAGCGCCUUGAGCGCCGUGUACAACCAGUAUGGAUCAACCGAUUAACCAAUUGAUCCAUAUAUAAGGCGCACUGUCGUUUGAGAAAAUUAAAGGCUUUUAAGUGUGCCUUGGAGUGCGGAAAAUCCGGUAUAUUUACUUUAAUACUACAAGAGGGCGCCCCAUUUGACAUUGUUUUGUUUGGCGGUGCCUUAUUUUUACGUUUUAUGUUAUAACAUUUUUAACAAUGUUAUAGUAAAGUGACGGUUUGUAUUGAAAGAUAAAUAUAUAUUUGAUCUUGUUGAGAAAUAAAUGAUAUUAAUAAAAGAAGUUUAUGGUUUUAUGUUGUUGAUUAUGGUGUCUAUAUUUAUUGUACUUUUUGUAAUUGUCUUAAAUAGAACUCGUUUC